UACGAAGGGGGCUAGCGUUGUUCGGAUUUACUGGGCGUAAAGCGCACGUAGGCGGAUUCUUAAGUCAGGGGUGAAAUCCCGAGGCUCAACCUCGGAACUGCCUUUGAUACUGGGGAUCUCGAGUUCGGGAGAGGUGAGUGGAGUUGCGAGUGUAGAGGUGAAAUUCGUAGAUAUUCGCAAGAACACCAGUGGCGAAGGCGGCUCACUGGCCCGAUACUGACGCUGAGGUGCGAAAGCGUGGGGAGCAAACAGG
rnacentral:rRNA from 1 species